GAGGGUAUAGCUCAGUGAUAGACUGCAUGCCUAGUAUGCAUGAGGUCCUGGGUUCAAUUCCCAGCAUCUCCA
rfam:Camelus ferus unplaced genomic scaffold scaffold757, whole genome shotgun sequence.